GACGAAGGAUGCAAGCGUUAUCCGGAUUCAUUGGGUUUAAAGGGAGCGUAGGCGGCCUUGUAAGUCAGUGGUGAAAUCUCUGGGCUUAACCCAGAAAUUGCCAUUGAUACUGCAGGGCUUGAGUACAGUUGCCGUUGGCGGAAUAUGACAUGUAGUGGUGAAAUACAUAGAGAUGUCAUAGAACACCGAUUGCGAAGGCAGCUAACGAAACUGUAACUGACGCUGAGGCUCGAAAGUGUGGGAGUCAAACAGG
rnacentral:rRNA from 1 species